CUAGACGUGUUUGAUCAUGGCUCAGGAUGAACGCUGGCGGCGUGCCUAAUACAUGCAAGUCGAACGAGGUGCUUUUGUAGCAAUACGAGAGUAUCCUAGUGACGAACGGGUGAGUAACGCGUGGAUGACCUGCCCCAAAGUGUGGGAUAACAGUCCGAAAGGAUUGCUAAUACCUCAUGUGGUUAUCGGUUUUAGAAAGCGAUAACUAAAGCAGCAAUGCGUCUUUGGGAGGGAUCUGCGUCCCAUCAGCUAGUUGGUGAGGUAACGGCUCACCAAGGCGACGACGGGUAGGGGACCUGAGAGGGUCGGCCCCCCACAAUGGAACUGAAACACGGUCCAUACACCUACGGGUGGCAGCAGUAGGGAAUAUUGCUCAAUGGGCGAAAGCCUGAAGCAGCAACGCCGCGUGUGCGAUGAAGGCCUUCGGGUCGUAAAGCACUUUUCUAAGAGAUGAGAAAGGACAGUAUCUUAGGAAUAAGUCUCGGCUAACUACGUG
rnacentral:rRNA from 1 species